rnacentral:rRNA from 1 species
UACGUAGGGUGCAAGCGUUAUUCGGAAUUACUGGGCGUAAAGCGUGCGCAGGCGGUUAUGUAAGACAGGUGUGAAAUCCCCGGGCUUAACCUGGGAACUGCAUUUGUGACUGCAUAGCUAGAGUACGGUAGAGGGGGAUGGAAUUCCGCGUGUAGCAGUGAAAUGCGUAGAUAUGCGGAGGAACACCGAUGGCGAAGGCAAUCCCCUGGACCUGUACUGACGCUCAUGCACGAAAGCGUGGGGAGCAAACAGG